rnacentral:rRNA from 1 species
GAAGGGAGCUUGCUCUCUGAUUCAGCGGCGGACGGGUGAGUAAUGCCUAGGAAUCUGCCUAUUAGUGGGGGACAACGUUUCGAAAGGAACGCUAAUACCGCAUACGUCCUACGGGAGAAAGCAGGGGACCUUCGGGCCUUGCGCUAAUAGAUGAGCCUAGGUCGGAUUAGCUAGUUGGUGAGGUAAAGGCUCACCAAGGCAACGAUCCGUAACUGGUCUGAGAGGAUGAUCAGUCACACUGGAACUGAGACACGGUCCAGACUCCUACGGGAGGCAGCAGUGGGGAAUAUUGGACAAUGGGCGAAAGCCUGAUCCAGCCAUGCCGCGUGUGUGAAGAAGGUCUUCGGAUUGUAAAGCACUUUAAGUUGGGAGGAAGGGCAGUAAGUUAAUACCUUGCUGUUUUGACGUUACCGACAGAAUAAGCACCGGCUAACUUCGUGCCAG